UCCCUUUCUAUAAAGAGCAAAGCUUUUCCAGUUCUAUUGUCAUUUACACUUGUUUAUUUUGGUUUGUGAAUAAAAGUAUUAUCUUAUCUUGUACAACACAUUUCAGCAGACCGCCUUGAGCACUUUGAGGCUGUGUUUGCAUAAUAAACGGCCCAGAACAAUGAAAAUCCAUAAAAGAGUCUCAUAAAAAGACCCUUCAGAAGGUGGCUGAAUAUGUGAAAAAACAGGUGAUUAUCACGGCCACCAACAAUGUCACGAGGAGUGCAUCUUCAUAGCAGCCUGUCCGUUAAUUAGUUGGGGGUGGAGGACACAGCUGGGGCGAAAGGCCUGAACCAGCCAGGUGGACGGUGUGCGUGCCAGGCACUGAACCCCGCCAAGAUCACAUGCAGAGAGGGGGCAGCGGGGCCGGAGGGAAUGUUCUGCUUUCACCCAGACCCACCUGGAUUUGAAGCCUGGCCUCACAUUUCCCACGUGUGUCAUCACGCAGAGCUGUGGCUUUCUCAUCUGCAAAGUGAACUUACAAAUACCUACCUACCUUAUAGAAUCAAUUUGAAGACCAAAGGUUGGGUAACGAUGGGGCGGGGCAGGGAGGGGGACACCACUGUUUCAGGGCCAUACAUGCUGUAAUCAUCUCAUCCUUGUGGCAAUCCAGGUGCUGGUAUAUUUGGCAUUUCCAUGUAAGUAAGGCUUAGGCAGAUGAACUAACUUCUCCAAGUAAGCAUUGAAACCAGAAGCCCCGCCGCAUUCUGCAGGUCUCCCUGGCCUGGCUGUGCUUCCUCCCUCCCCACGCUCCGUCUUUGUGGUGCCUGGGUGGGGUCCUCCCCACUCACCAGGUGAUAACACAGGUGUGCUUCGCAGGUGGCUCAUUUUUUCUUUCUGGACCUGAAGCUUCUUGAGGAUGGUGGUAAGUUCAGAACUGUCUUUGUAAAGCACUGCUCUGCCUGUUGCUAGCGCCCUUUAUUCUGAGGAUUCCCUUGAAGGCAGCUCAGGAGCAGCAGCUUCCCUGCCAGGCUCUGCAGCACCUGGGAGAACUUGCAGCUGGUCCGGGCCUGUCUGCUCCUGGAUGGAGCCUGCCUGGUGCCCCAUACCUGCUCAUGGAGGUCUCCACUGCUCAGGCCUAGACCCUAGGAGACGCUGGGAGAAGAAUUGACGAAUGGGAAGCAGGAGAAGGGCAGGGCAGAAAAGCAAGGGGAAGCCAGACAGCAGCAAAGAAGAGAGGCAAAGUGUCUAUGCCAGGAGGGGGGUGCCCGCCUGCCCUCAGAGCUCAGGCAGAGUCCCCACGGCAGGGGCGAGGGCUGGGGAGGAGGCCAUACAGAUGCCACUGCCUCGCAAUUAGACCAGCACCAUGGCUGAGAAAGCCAUGACACCAAGAAAUGCCAGGAGGGCAGGGACCUACUGAGGGGCAGCAGUGGUGUGGCACCGGGGGCAGCUGGCAGCACCUCGGCCAGACUGCAGUUCAGGGGUAGGAAUGGGGUGAGGUGCAUGCUAGAGAUGGAGCAGGGCCUAGUUCUGACGAUGAGAAUGACUUAGGCCUCUUGGUGCCAAGUAGGAAAACUGAACCACAAGCAGCUUACACAUGAUAAUGGGCAUUUAUUCACUUAACCACCUAAUAGGUCUGGCCUCAGCCU